AGCCAAGGAGCAGAGAGCAAAGGACGGAGAAUGUCAGAGAUUCCGCAGGAGGCCGCGAGGGGACGAGCGACAACCCCUCGGCCGCUAGCUCAGCGCUUCCCUCGCUGCUUCCCAACGGCCACCAGAGGGCGCGCGCCUGGCGCUGAGCCCAACCGCCACUUCCAACAGCGCAUGACCAGACCCGGCGGGACAGGACCCCGCUUUGGGUCCAAGUCCAGCGGUGUUUGCGGCGGGCCCGGGGCCUGGAAGCACUGGGGCGGAGCCAAGAAUGAAACUGGAAAAUGACCUUCAUUGGAAAAGUCCCAGUCCUCGGGGAGCAGAUCCCCCAUCUCUGGCAGUGCAGUGCGCCUGGGCGCUGUCUGGAACAUUCCGCAACAGUCACUCCUCUGCCCUGCAUUGGCCUUGACCACAUGACCCAGAGGCACAGGGAGAAGCCUCCCCUGGAUGCUUGGUGAGUUGACUUCAGCGGCUGAGAGUGUCUAAGGAGAGCCGGGAGCACCACACGCUUCCUGCAGAUGGUGGGGCAGAUCUGUGUGCAGGAGUGCCUGAAGGGGAUCUCCUGUGGCGCUGCCUGGUCCAGGGAGGUCACAGAGUGCUCCUCCACCCUGAGCACAAGGGGUCCCACCAAGGACAAGGACGAGAUUCAGCACCGUCGCACACAGAACAGCUACGUGGAGCCACAGGUCACUUUCCCAAAAGGGAGUCUCCAAGCCAGAAGCCAUCCCUGCAGCAUUGUCUUCGUGCUCCAAGAGAAGCCCUGGCACACACUUCUGCUCAGAUGGAACCACUGUACCCUCAGCGUCCUUGUCAGUACCAGCCGGUGACUUUCCUACCCAAACCCUUCCCUCACUCCCUGCCUCAUUUUCUCAAGGUGCCGUGUUUGCCUGAAAGGACAUUUGCGGCCAGCAGGGGUGGUGGCUGGUCCUCUAGCUGGGCACGAAUGCCACUGGCAGGCAACCUGGCAGACUCCAUGGAAAGGUGCUUCCCUUCCUCAAGGUAUGCACUCAGCGGGGAGACCUCAUUGUCAAGUUCAGAGUUACGCUGCAGACUGCACAGCACCUCGCCUGCUUCUAGGACCUGCUCUGGUCAGCCCCGGACCCGCCACAGCAGGACCCCGAAUCCUGUGCUC